rnacentral:rRNA from 1 species
GACGAACGCUGGCGGCGUGCCUAAUACAUGCAAGUAGGACGCAGUUGCGAACGGGUGAGUAACGCGUAGGUAACCACCCAUUAGAGGGGGACAACUAUCGGAAACGAUAGCUAAUACUGCAUACUAGUAGAUGGACCUGCGCUGUAUUAGCUAGUAAGUAGGGUAAUGGCCUACCUAGGCAACGAUACAUAGCCGACCCGAAGGGGUGAUUGGCCACCCUGGGAAUGCAACACGGACCAGGCUCCUACCGGAUGCCGCAGUAAGGAAGCUUCGGCAAUGAGAGGAACCCUGACCGGGCAACGGCGCGUGAAAGAAAAAGGUUUUAGGAUCGUAAAGCUCUGUUGUUAAGGAAGCGGUACGUAACCAGAAAGGGACGGCUAACUACGUGCCAGCAGCCGCGGUAAUUC